CAGCAGCCGCGGUAAAACGAAGGGGGCUAGCGUUGUUCGGAAUUACUGGGCGUAAAGCGCACGUAGGCGGAUUGUUAAGUUAGGGGUGAAAUCCCAGGGCUCAACCCUGGAACUGCCUUUAAUACUGGCAAUCUCGAGUCCGAGAGAGGUGAGUGGAAUUCCGAGUGUAGAGGUGAAAUUCGUAGAUAUUCGGAGGAACACCAGUGGCGAAGGCGGCUCACUGGCUCGGUACUGACGCUGAGGUGCGAAAGCGUGGGGAGCAAACAGGAUUAGAUACCCCCGUAGUCCCUGUCUCUUAUAC
rnacentral:rRNA from 1 species